rnacentral:piRNA from 1 species
CUGGAUAAGGUUGCUCAGAAAGCUGGGG